GAUUCUCAUGAGAAGAAGCAAUCUACCAAAACAAGAUACAUGUCUACACUAAAAUUUGGUAGCAGUGUGCGAAACUUGGCGGAGACCGGUGAUGUCUGUCUUGAAGAUGUGGAUUUCUCGUAUCCAGUGAGGCCUGAUGUGGAAAUCCUUCGUGGCCUUAAUUUAACCCUAAAAUGUGGAACUGUUACAGCUCUGGUGGGACCAAGUGGUGCAGGGAAAAGUACAGUGGUACAGUUAUUGGCACGUUUCUAUGAGCCAACUCGAGGUCGGAUAACUGUUGCGGGAGAAGAUUUGCGAACAUUUGAUAAGAGCGAGUGGGCUCGGGUUGUCUCUCUAGUUAAUCAAGAACCUGUUCUUUUCUCUGUAUCGGUUGGAGAAAAUAUUGCUUAUGCUCUCCCUGAUGAAUAUGUAUCCAAGGAUGACGUGGUAAAGGCAGCCAAGGCUGCCAAUGCGCACGAGUUCAUAAUUUCAAUGCCACAGGGUUAUGACACAUUGGUUGGUGAACGUGGUGGUUUAUUGAGUGGUGGACAGAGGCAGCGAAUUGCUAUUGCAAGGGCUCUACUGAAGAAUGCCCCUAUUUUGAUUCUUGAUGAGGCCACUAGUGCUUUAGACACUAUAAGUGAGCGUCUAGUUCAAGAAGCCCUGGACCAUCUGAUGAAGGGACGAACAACUUUGGUAAUUGCUCACAGAUUGAGCACAGUUCAGAAUGCAGAUCAAAUUGCUUUGUGUUCUGAUGGGAAGAUUGCGGAGUUGGGAACACACUUAGAGUUGUUGGAAAGGAAGGGUCAAUAUGCUUCUCUGGUUGAUACUCAGAGGCUCGCAUUUGAAUAAUCAUGAUACUGUGCACUGAAGGAGCAAUUAUUACGGAUCGGUUGUUGAAAGUCUGGUGGAUGGAUGGAUAUAGCAGGAAGUAUAACAGAGGGACAAGUCCUCCCUUUUUCUUUUGGAACACAGCAAAGUAUACAAAGUUUACAUACUAUAUACAGCUGAUGUAAAAAUUGGUACAAUUGCAGUGUAUUGUAAAUCCCGUAUCAAUGGACAUUCACGUCCAGGUUCCCAUGAAUUCUACACUUUCUGUUUACAAAAUCCAUUAUUGAAUGUUCUUUAACUUAACUAUGCAAUUUAUUGACCUUCCUUUUUAUAUCAAUGUUUGAGAGCUAUA
rnacentral:misc_RNA from 1 species